AAAUCAUGGAGCAAAAACUAUAUGGAAUGACACCCUCCAAGAAAGCUGUCAAUCUUCAGAUAUUGAAAGAACUGGCAUCUAUAGGGUAUGAGAAGGAGUUAGCUGCUGAAGCGCUGAGAAGAAAUGAGAAUGACAUACAGAAAGCAUUGGAUGAUUUGAUAAGCCCAGAAACUAACUCUGUUAUACAGAAUGCUAUUGAGUCGAGGAAAAGGAAACGACAACGUAAAACAGAAGAUGAUGCAGUUGAUAAGCUCGUUCGCAUGGGCUUCGAUAGAACAAGA
rnacentral:misc_RNA from 1 species